rnacentral:rRNA from 1 species
CGUACAAGGUCUCCGUAGGUGAACCUGCGGANGGAUCAUUACAAGAACGCCCGGGCUUCGGCCUGGUUAUUCAUAACCCUUUGUUGUCCGACUCUGUUGCCUCCGGGGCGACCCUGCCUUCGGGCGGGGGCUCCGGGUGGACACUUCAAACUCUUGCGUAACUUUGCAGUCUGAGUAAACUUAAUUAAUAAAUUAAAACUUUUAACAACGGAUCUCUUGGUUCUGGCAUCGAUGAAGAACGCAGCGAAAUGCGAUAAGUAAUGUGAAUUGCAGAAUUCAGUGAAUCAUCGAAUCUUUGAACGCACAUUGCGCCCCCUGGUAUUCCGGGGGGCAUGCCUGUUCGAGCGUCACUUCACCACUCAAGCCUCGCUUGGUAUUGGGCAACGCGGUCCGCCGCGUGCCUCAAAUCGUCCGGCUGGGUCUUCUGUCCCCUAAGCGUUGUGGAAACUAUUCGCUAAAGGGUGUUCGGGAGGCUACGCCGUAAAACAACCCCAUUUCUAAGGUUGACCUCGGAUCAGGUAGGGAUACCCGCUGAACUUAAGCAUAUCA